AGCCUUCCUCUAGAUGGAAAUGAGCACUGUUGUUCAUGGUGUCCAGAAAUUGUUAAUGUAGCUACACUGAGACACAGGUGGGCUUCCCUCACAGGCAGUGGUGACACUGAGACCUGUAAUGUUU
ensembl:snoRNA